ACAGAUGUCUGAAGAUGAUGGUUGACUCCAAAAUUCCAAUGGUCUCUACUAUUACCUGCCCUGUGGCCUGCCAAAGUCUCCAAACAGCAACUCUAUUUGCCACUAAUACCUCAAGCACCAUGGUGUCUACUGAAUGAUAGGAACCAAAUGCACAGCAGCCGGGACCUGUUGAACAGCUUUCUUCCUUCUGUUUCUGACGCCACUCAAAACUAGCAGCUUUCUAAGGCACCGGAACCUACUCUUCUAGCACAUAUUGAAGACCGACUAAGGCAUCCUGUCUUGUGGUACUGAGCAGAUCCUAGAUUCUUGGACUUCCUGCUCACAGCCAGCCAUUGUUGAAUUUUCUAGACUGCAGCCUAGGAAUUUCAAGAUUGGCUGGUUAACAGGACUCUCGCUGGCAGCUGAAGGGAAGACAUCACAGGCUGGAGAUGUUUGGGAAAGGAACACACUAUCAUGGAGUUUGUCCUAUGACUCGACGGGAAGGGAACAG